GGCUGGUCACAGUGCAGUGAUGUUUACAACUCAUUGAUCACAACCAGUUACAGAUUUCUUUGUUUCUUCUCCACUCCCACUGCUUUAUUUGACUGACCUUAA
ensembl:misc_RNA Y_RNA Y RNA